rnacentral:rRNA from 1 species
UACGGAGGGUGCAAGCGUUAUCCGGAUUCACUGGGUUUAAAGGGUGCGUAGGCGGGCAGGUAAGUCCGUGGUGAAAUCUCUGAGCUUAACUCAGAAACUGCCAUGGAUACUAUUUGUCUUGAAUGUUGUUGGAGGUAAGCGGAAUAUGUCAUGUAGCGGUGAAAUGCUUAGAUAUGACAUAGAACACCAAUUGCGAAAGGCAGCUUACUACACAAAAUAUUGACGCUGAGGCACGAAAGCGUGGGGAUCAAACAGG